rnacentral:rRNA from 1 species
UAGUCAAAGGCUGAGGAAAACCCUCUUCGAUCUAAAUCUAUUUACUAGCUUGAGUAUUUUGGGUGGCUUAUACAUUCCUGAAGUAAGGGUGAAAUUGUUUAUAACUGGAAGAUGUUCAAAAGCGAAAGCAAUCGCAAAGAAAUUCUGACGCUAAGGCACUAAGGCGUGGGGAUCAAAAAGGAUUAGAGACCUCGUAGUCCACGCAUUAAACAUGGGUGUUCAAUAACUUGGAGCGCACAAAGUGCCUUAGGGAAUUUACAGCUAACGCGUCAAACACCCCGCUGGGGAAUGUGGCCGCAAGGUCUAAACUCAACGGAAUUGACGGUGGCUCAUACAAGG